AAUAUUUUUAUUUUAUAGUUUACAAUUGUUAUUAAGUAACGUCCUGCCAAACCCGUCCCGCCAAAUCCGUCCACAAAAAAAACUAUUUAUUUUAUUAAUGUUGAUCUUAUUUAUAAUAUGUUUAUGAAUCAUUGUCAAAAUAUUUUAGUCGUUCCGGGACGUUGUAUCCACACAUUUUUCGCCAAUUGGUUAAUAUAUGUUCAUUUUUAAAAUUUCGAAUCACAAAAUAUGACCAACUUUUUUUUGAGAUUUUUUAAAACUCUAUAUAUUAUAUAAUGAUGUUAAAUAUUUUUGAUAUAUUAAACUUUUUAU
rnacentral:sRNA from 1 species